rnacentral:lncRNA from 1 species
UUUUAAUGCACAUUCUUCUACUAUUAUACUUAGACAUUUCUCUAGUUUGUUUUAUUAAUUUUACUACUUUAUUGUAUUUUAGAUUUAAGUUUAUUUUUGUCUUUAUUUUAAUUUCGUAUUUUAUUUUCAGCAUUAACAAUUAUUUGAUACAUGUUCACUAUGCAGAUCAUAACUUGAGUUACAAGAAUCAGAUUAAUGUGUUCUGAUAGAUGUUGGAAAGCGAAGAUAAAGAGCUACAAGUUUU